rnacentral:misc_RNA from 1 species
GUAGGUGAACCUGCGGAAGGAUCAUUAACACUUUUAUCAAAAACUUUAUUUUACCCCCCUUUUUCAUAAUUUCUAAGCCCUUCUUUCUUUCUUCGACUCUCUCACGAGAUGAGAAGAGAGGGAGAUAUGUUUGAUUUGUGAGAUUGAACAAAAUGUGUGGCCUUUCUUACUUUUUUUAAUUAUUAUUUGAGAACGAGGGAACUUUCGUUCCUUCGGUUUUUUCAUAUCUCUUAAACUAGUUCAACCCAAAACCUAAAAUAAAUGGCGUGCUCAGCGAGUCUCUCUUCGGAGUCUCUCUCCGAGUUAUCCCCAUUUCUAAAACUAACAAAAAAAAAAUUAAAAUAAAACUAAAAAUAAGAAUACAACUCUUAACAAUGGAUAUCUUGGUUCUC